rnacentral:rRNA from 1 species
AAUUUUGCGCAAUGGGGGAAACCCUGACGCAGCAACACCGCGUGAAUGUUAAGCCCUUCGGGGUGUAAAGUUCUGUCAGUGGGGACGAAUAAUGACGGUACCCACAAAGGAAGCACCGGCUAACUCCGUGCCAGCAGCCGCGGUAAUACGGGGGGUGCAAGCGUUGUCCGGAAUCAUUGGGCGUAAAGCGUUCGUAGGCGGCAUGUCAAGUCUGGUGUUAAAGCCCGGGGCUCAACUCCGGUUCGGCACUGGAUACUGGCAAGCUAGAAUGUGGUAGAGGUAAGGGGAAUUCCUGGUGUAGCGGUGAAAUGCGUAGAUAUCAGGAGGAACAUCGGUGGCGAAGGCGCCUUACUGGGCCAUUAUUGACGCUGAGGAACGAAAGCCGGGGGAGCAAAUGGG